CUCACCGUGAGGUGGGGUCUGAAGGGUUUGAGGCGAAACACCGAGCCGUAGCCGAAUUUGGCGAACCGGUCGGCCCGUUCCAGGAGAUGCCGAGCCCGCACUAUGGGGGUGAAGGAAAUACUUGGGGCUCCUGGGCACAACAAGGUGUGUGCGGGCGGCGCGGUGGGAAAGUUCUCUGC
rfam:Frankia sp. BMG5.36 contig_191, whole genome shotgun sequence.